UACGUAGGGUGCAAGCGUUAACCGGAAUUACUGGGCGUAAAGCGUGCGCAGGCGGUGAUGUAAGACAGAUGUGAAAUCCCCGGGCUCAACCUGGGAACUGUAUUUGUGACUGCAUCGCUGGAGUGCGGCAGAGGGGGAUGGAAUUCCGCGUGUAGCAGUGAAAUGCGUAGAUAUGCGGAGGAAUACCGAUGGCGAAGGCAGCCCCCUGGGCUAACACUGACGCUCAUGCACGAAAGCGUGGGGAGCAAACAGG
rnacentral:rRNA from 1 species